UGUGGUGACGGUAGGUAGAUAAGAAGCACCGGCUAACUACGUGCAGCAGCCGCGGUAAUACGUAGGGUGCGAGCGUUGUCCGGAAUUACUGGGCGUAAAGAGCUCGUAGGUGGUUUGUCGCGUCGUCUGUGAAAUCCCGGGGCUUAACUUCGGGCGUGCAGGCGAUACGGGCAUAACUUGAGUGCUGUAGGGGAGACUGGAAUUCCUGGUGUAGCGGUGAAAUGCGCAGAUAUCAGGAGGAACACCGAUGGCGAAGGCAGGUCUCUGGGCAGUUACUGACGCUGAGGAGCGAAAGCAUGGGUAGCGAACAGGAUUAGAUACCCUGGUAGUCCAUGCCGUAAACGGUGGGCGCUAGGUGUAGGGGGCUUCCACGUCUUCUGUGCCGUAGCUAACGCAUUAAGCGCCCCGCCUGGGGAGUACGGCCGCAAGGCUA
rnacentral:rRNA from 1 species